rnacentral:rRNA from 1 species
CAAAGGGGGCGACCCCGGUCAUGGAUGGGCAUGCGGCGCAUUAGGUAGUUGGUGGGGCAACGGCCCACCAAGCCGACGAUGCGUAGGGGUUCUGAGAGGAAGGUCCCCCACAUUGGAACUGAGACACGGUCCAAACUCCUACGGGAGGCAGCAGUGAGGAAUAUUGGUCAAUGGCCGGAAGGCUGAACCAGCCAAGUCGCGUGAGGGAAUAAGGCCCUACGGGUCGUAAACCUCUUUUGCCAGGGAGCAAUGCCGUCCACGUGUGGACGGAAGGAGAGUACCUGGAGAAAAAGCAUCGGCUAACUCCGCGCCAGCAGCCGCGGUAAUACGGAGGAUGCGAGCGUUAUCCGGAUUUAUUGGGUUUAAAGGGUGCGUAGGCGGCCUGCCAAGUCAGCGGUAAAAUUGCGGGGCUCAACCCCGUACAGCCGUUGAAACUGCCGGGCUCGAGUGGGCGAGAAGUAUGCGGAAUGCGUGGUGUAGCGGUGAAAUGCAUAGAUAUCACGCAGAACCCCGAUUGCGAAGGCAGCAUACCGGCGCCCGACUGACGCUGAGGCACGAAAGUGCGGGGAUCAAACAGGAUUAGAUACCCUGGUAGUCCGCACAGUAAACGAUGAAUGCUAGCUGUCCGGGGGGAUUGACCCCUGG